UACGUAGGGUGCAAGCGUUAAUCGGAAUUACUGGGCGUAAAGCGUGCGCAGGCGGUUCGCUAAGACAGAUGUGGAAUCCCCGGGCUUAACCUGGGAACUGCAUUUGUGACUGGCGGGCUAGAGUAUGGCAAAGGGGGGUAGAAUUCCACGUGUAGCAGUGAAAUGCGUAGAGAUGUGGAGGAAUACCGAUGGCGAAGGCAGCCCCCUGGGCCAAUACUGACGCUCAUGCACGAAAGCGUGGGGAGCAAACAGG
rnacentral:rRNA from 1 species